rnacentral:rRNA from 1 species
CGGGUCCUACGGGGGGCAGCAGUGAGGAAUAUUGGUCAAUGGGAGAGAUCCUGAACCAGCCAAGCCGCGUGAGGGAAGACGGCCCUAUGGGUUGUAAACCUCUUUUGUCGGAGAACAAAACCCGGGACGUGUCCCGGACUGCGUGUAUCCGAAGAAAAAGCAUCGGCUAACUACGUGCCAGCAGCCGCGGUAAUACGUAGGUGGCAAGCGUUGUCCGGAAUUACUGGGUGUAAAGGGAGCGCAGGCGGGAAGCCAAGUCAGCUGUGAAAACUACGGGCUUAACUUG